UAAAGAGUUCUAUAACUCCCAAACCCAUGUGAACAUACCUAACGUUGCCUCGGCAGGUCGCACCUACCUUGUAGCACCCUACCCUGUAGGGCCUACCCGGGAGGUGCGGGUAAGCCUGCCGGCGGCCCACCAAACUCUGUUUGAUAUUGAAUUCUGAACCUAUAACUAAAUAAGUUAAAACUUUCAACAACGGAUCUCUUGGUUCUGGCAUCGAUGAAGAACGCAGCGAAAUGCGAUAAGUAAUGUGAAUUGCAGAAUUCAGUGAAUCAUCGAAUCUUUGAACGCAUAUUGCGCCCAUUAGUAUUCUAGUGGGCAGGACCGUUCGAGCGUCAUUUCAACCCUUAAGCCUUCGUUGCUUAGUGUUGGGAGCCUACGGCAACGUAGCUCCUCAAAGUUAGUGGCGGAGUUGGUUCACACUCUAGACGUAGUAAUUUUUUAUCUCGCCUAUUAGUUGGACUAAUCCCCUGCCGUAAAACCCCCAAUUUAUCAAGGUUGACCUCGAAUCGGUUCAGACAAACUCGCUAAAUUGAAGCAUCUUAGUCAGCGAAGGAAAAGAAACCAACAGGGAUUGCCCUAGUAACGGCGAGUGAAGCGGCAACAGCUCAAAUUUGAAAUCUGGCCCUCGGGUCCGAGUUGUAAUUUGUAGAGGAUGCUUUUGGCGCGGU
rnacentral:rRNA from 1 species